CCUACGGGAGGCAGCAGUGAGGAAUAUUGGUCAAUGGACGAGAGUCUGAACCAGCCAAGUAGCGUGAAGGAUGACUGCCCUAUGGGUUGUAAACUUCUUUUAUAAAGGAAUAAAACGAGGCACGUGUGCCUUUUUGCAUGUACUUUAUGAAUAAGGAUCGGCUAACUCCGUUCCAGCAGCCGCGGUAAUACGGAGGAUCCGAGCGUUAUCCGGAUUUAUUGGGUUUAAAGUGAGCGUAGAUGGGUUGUUAAGUCAGUUGUGAAAGUUUGCGGCUCAACCAUAAAAUUGCAAUUGAUACUGGCAGUCGUGAGUACAGUAGAGGUAGGCGGAAUUCGUGGUGUAGCGGUGAAAUGCUUAGAUAUCACGAAGAACCCCGAUUGCGAAGGCAGCUUACUAAACUGUGACUGACAUUGAUGCUCGAAAGUGUGGGUAUCAAACAGGAUUAGAUACCCUUGUAGUC
rnacentral:rRNA from 1 species